CGUCCUCGAUCUGCUGCGGGCAGAUGAAAUGGAUAUGCGCGUCGAUCCCGCCGGCGGUGAGAAUCUGGCCCUCCCCGGCGACGAUCUCGGUGCCGGGACCGAUGAGGAUGUCGACGCCCGCCUGGGUGUCCGGAUUGCCGGCCUUGCCGAUGCCGGCGAUGCGCCCGUCCUUGAUCCCGACAUCGGCCUUGACGAUCCCCCAGUGAUCCAGGAUCACCGCAUUGGUGAUGACCAGAUCCGCGACCUCGGCGGCCGGACGCUGGCUCUGGCCCAUGCCGUCGCGGAUG
rnacentral:sRNA from 1 species